rnacentral:tRNA from 2 species
GCGGGAGUUGCCCAGUCAGGUCAAAGGCGCAAGGUUCAGGGCCUUGUCUCGUAGGAGUUCGCAGGUUCGAAUCCUGCCUCCCGCA